UUACAGAAAUAAAUGUUUAUUACACAGUUAAUAAAUAGGCAUUUUCUGUCUUAGUAACACAUUUUGUCGCAGAUUUAAAAAGAAGUAAAUAAAAACAGCUUUAUGGACUAUUGUAGUUUAGAGAAAAUAAACUUUAAAAAUGACUUUGCUUACUUUGUAGACACACCAGUUACACUAAAUUUAAGCAGCUGUAGAUUUCUGGGAAAAUGUAAUGAAUUCUUUAAGAUGCAUUUAGC